CCCCCCCCCCCCCCCCCCCCCCCCCCCCCCCCCCCCCCCCCCCCCCCCCCCCCCCCCCCCCCCCGCAGCCUGAGCCGCUCGGCGCUGCUGGCCGAGGUGGCCUCGGCCGAGAUGAGCCUUCACGCCAUCUACCUGCACCAGCUCCACCAGCAGCAGCAGCAGGGCCCCGGCCCCCAGCCCGCGGGGGCGCCCAGACACCCCUUCGUGACCACAGGCUCGGCUGCCCGCGCCUCGCAGCUGCGGGAGAUGCCGCUGGGCGGGUGGGCCGAGGAGGAAGAGGAGGAGGAAGAGGAGACGAUGACGUAGCCGGACCCGGCUCCGGGUCCUGGUUGUGCCGAGACCCCCCGGAGGUGCCGGGGGAGCCGCCAGGGGCACAGUGGGGGGCUCGCCGUGCCCACUAUGCUGCCAGGGGGGCCCUGUCCGUGGGAGCCCCCUGCUCGGGGUGUCCCUGGUGCCCCCACUGCGGGGGUGCUGCCAGGGCCCCCCCCAGGUGCUGUUUUUGGGGGAGCACGGGGCUGGUGCCCCCCGUGGUGCCCCGAGCACCAGCUGAAAUAAAGGUUUACAGAGGGGCUGUGCCCACUGGCUGCGCCCGGGGUGAGCUGGCCCCCCCCCCC
rnacentral:lncRNA from 1 species